rnacentral:rRNA from 1 species
CAGUAGCCACGGGAAUACGGAGGGGGCUAGCGUUGUUCGGAAUUACUGGGCGUAAAGCGUACGUAGGCGGCUUUGUAAGUUAGAGGUGAAAGCCUGGUGCUCAACACCAGAACUGCCUUUAAGACUGCAUCGCUUGAACGUCGGAGAGGUGAGUGGAAUUCCGAGUGUAGAGGUGAAAUUCGUAGAUAUUCGGAAGAACACCAGUGGCGAAGGCGGCUCACUGGACGACUGUUGACGCUGAGGUACGAAAGCGUGGGGAGCAAACAGGAUUAGAUACCCCAGUAGUCCCUGUCUCUUAUAC